rnacentral:rRNA from 1 species
AGCGAACGCUGGCGGCAGGCUUAACACAUGCAAGUCGAGCGGGCGUAGCAAUACGUCAGCGGCAGACGGGUGAGUAACGCGUGGGAACGUACCUUUUGGUUCGGAACAACACAGGGAAACUUGUGCUAAUACCGGAUAAGCCCUUACGGGGAAAGAUUUAUCGCCGAAAGAUCGGCCCGCGUCUGAUUAGCUAGUUGGUGUGGUAACGGCGCACCAAGGCGACGAUCAGUAGCUGGCUGAGAGGAUGAUCAGCCACAUUGGGACUGAGACACGGCCCAAACUCCUACGGGAGGCAGCAGUGGGGAAUAUUGGACAAUGGGCGCAAGCCUGAUCCAGCCAUGCCGCGUGAGUGAUGAAGGCUCUAGGGUUGUAAAGCUCUUUUGUGCGGGAAGAUAAUGACGGUACCGCAAGAAUAAGCCCCGGCUAACUUCGUGCCAG